UUGGGGUAUGGGACUGAUUUUGAAUAAAGGGUUUAAGAAUGGGGUUAGUUUGGUCAUUUCACAAACUAAAUGAAAUUAGGGCUUUUAAGUCCCGUUCCCUUUUUGUUGAUCGGGCAAUUAGAGGGGACGUGAACAGUCGAAGCUUAUGAACAUAGCGAGAGAAAAACACAAAGCUUCGCAGGAGGCAUCAUGUCUCGUCGAUCGAUUGAGUGAUGGAUGCUGUCUCUGAGGUUUGACGAGGCCGAAGGAGGAGGAAAGGGGAGGACCUUUGGGUUUUGGCUAGACCGAAGGAAGAAGAAGAACGAAGCAGUAAACACCUUCGGUGUUCGAAUGAUCCGAAAAAAAGGGAAGAGGCAGCAAGAGCUGCGGUCGACCUCAGUGGUGCAGCGAGGGUGUGAAAGGGAUGUGAUCAGAAGAGGGAUUCGGGAGGAAGUAGGCCUCAGCGACAUUUCAGGUGGGAACGAUUUGGCAGCAAGGAUCGACGGAAGGAAAAGACAGGAAAAGGAACACGAAAAUAAAAGACUACUGCCUUCUUGGUAUUGCUAAAACAGAGAACGCACCUCAAUGGUGUGUUUAUGGCAGUAGAACGAAGAAGAAGAAGAAAGAAAUGCAGGAAAGUUUUUUUUUUCCAGUUUUGAUUUUUUUUGGGUUGAAAUCGAAUGUGUGUUUGGUUGGAUCGUUUGACAGGAAACGAAAGAAGAUAAUCAGUUGAGGAAAAGGGUGUUUGAGAUGUGUGAUUGUUGUUUGAAAUUGACGUGUAAAGAAGAUGAAGCAAUAAUAAUGUGUUAUAUUUCUUGUUUGCAGGUAUACACAAAAUCAAGAACAAGAAUGUUCUUAUGUUCUUGGUUGGAUGAUGAUUUGAUGAAGAGAAGGACGCGAGGGAUGAAGAGAAGGACGCGAGGGUUGCUCACUGACAGCUUCAACUGAUUGAGGCAAAAGGGAAACACGUUCUCUUUUCUUUGGAGAGUGUCAUUGUACAAAACAAACCUUAGGCUAGAACGAGGGUAACACUCCUCGCACGUUGCCAUGUUAUUUUUUUAUUAUUUUUUUUUGCUUGUCGUGGCCACGACAUCUUUUUGUCUUUAACACCUAAA